CCUACGGGGGGCUGCAGUGGGGAAUUUUGGACAAUGGGCGCAAGCCUGAUCCAGCCAUUCCGCGUGAGUGAAGAAGGCCUUCGGGUUGUAAAGCUCUUUCGCAAGGGAAGAAAACUUAUCCUCUAACAUAGGAUGAGGUUGACGGUACCUUGAUAAGAAGCACCGGCUAACUACGUGCCAGCAGCCGCGGUAAUACGUAGGGUGCGAACUUUGCGCGGAAUUACUGGGCGUAGAGCGGUAAGUCGCUGGUGAAAUCCCCGAGCUCAACUUGGGAACUGCGUGUGAAACUACAAGACUAGAAUAGGUCAGAGGGGGGUAGAAUUCCACGUGUAGCAGUGAAAUGCGUAGAGAUGUGGAGGAAUAUCAAUGGCGAAGGCAGCCCCCUGGGAUCAUAUUGACGCUCAUGCACGAAAGCGUGGGGAGCAAACAGGAUUAGAUACCCCAGUAGUC
rnacentral:rRNA from 1 species